GUUCCCCAUUCCCACUGCCAGAGACGCGAUUAGCCGCCUAAACCCUAAUCAAGCAUACACGAUUUAUAUUCAGACUCGGUAUUAUCAUGUAUGUUACUCUGGUAUUCAGAUGCUUGCGACUGGGAUAUGAGGAGGCUGUGACCCAAUUCUUUCAGGAAGUUAGAUCUGUUUAUUUAAUUAGCACAACACACUUGUAGUAAAUUGAAUAUUGUUUUGUCACUUUGUGUUGGAUCAAGAGUUUUUUGCUGAUGGCCAGGCGUGCAGAAUAUUGAAGAAUGGAGUCAGGUGCAGGCCGUAGGAGUGGAGUCUUUGUGAUUAUCCUAUUUUUGAUUUAAAAAGUUCGGUUCUUAAGGAAAGAACCGAAUAUUAUAACAGAUUUAAGCCAAACUCUCUCCCUCUCUCUCUCUAAAAAAUUAGGGUUUGGAAAACCGCCGUCUUUUUUCAAGCUAGUUGAGGGGCUACCAUCGGUUUCUCCUCCGGUGGAAAGCCCCAAUCCCGUUAUUUUCUUUCAUUUUCGUUUUAAUAAAACCCAACUUUUUGGGUGUUUGUGUGUCUCUCCUGUUGGAGUGUGUUUGGUUUGUCUCUCCUUUUGGAGUGUUUGUUAUGUUAAUUCACAAAUGAAACCUCCCAAGAACACACCCACUUCAUUUUGCACCCCGCCCCCCACCCAAAAAAAAAAUAAAAGAGUAAUAAAUCAGGAUUUCAUAAUAUGAUAGACAUGUGUGCAUGAUAUAGACAGAGGAAGGAUAAGAAAGAAAAUGGAUGUUGAGAUUGAAGGAGAGAGACAACAUAUGAGCGGGAGAGAUAAUAAAUCGAGAUAGCAUGCACCGAGUCGUUUAAAUCCGCAAUCCUUGGAAGUGUGUAUCUGUUAUAAGGACCAUCUUGAUGCAGAAAAAAGAAGGCAAGAUGUUGUUUCCAGUGAAGAAUCUUCAGCAGAUGAAGAUCUUCUCACUGAAACCGAUGGCGACUCAUCCUAAAUAGUUCAUAAUCAGGGACUUUGGCUGUCAAGGUUGAUGGCAGUGGCCAGUGGAUGUGUAUCAAUAUGUGGGAGUAUACUUGAUGACAAGGAUUUCAUUGCCAAGCACACUGGAGUCUAGACCUAUUCUGUUUUUAAUGAUAUCAAGUUCAACAGAGUUUUUGACCACUGGAGGGCCACUUUCUUAGCUUUUGUAAAAUGCAUUUUAUGUUCUGGAGUCUGGACUGUAUUUGCAUAUUUUAAUUUUAAUCAGUUGUAAUGAAGAUUAUUUUUUCAA